rnacentral:lncRNA from 1 species
CGCGUGGGCAACCCCUAGCUGCAGUUUCUUUCCUCUUCUCUGCCCUCAGCACUUUCCCCUCCAGGAGCACAACUCUGAGCUGUCAUUCCUGUCAACCAGAUGGGAGAUCAGCCACAAAGCUGCUCCGCCUCUCGCAAGGACAGGAACUCUUGUGGCAGGCAGGCUUUCGGGGCGGCUCCAAGAGGGAGUGAGUGAGUCUGGGCCUCUUAGUCGCUGUGGUCAUGGUAAGGGAAAGUGACCUGUUUGUCACCAGGUUUCCCUUGGAAGUCCCCCACCCUCAGGCCUGGCUCCCCGCACUUCCCCUUUUGGUCCCUUCUGCUCUCACAGCUUCACUGCAGCCAGCGUGGAGCAGGAUGCUGACAGCAGAGUGGCUCCAGUGAGCUGCCAUUCCAGAUGUCAGGAACAAGCUCACAGACUGAGUGAAGCCGAGAAGGAUUGCAAACACCAGUGAGAAAGGGCUGGGAGACAACAGUGACGGAGAAGAGGAGCAGGCUUUCAGGCGAUAAGGUGGCUGUGAACUGGUUACAGUUUCCUGAGAUCAACUGCGGUCUGAAAAUCGAAGUCUUCAAUCAACACAACUGAGCUGAGACUCCUCUAGAAGAGAGCUAUCAGGGUCCUGACAGACAGCUGGUGAGGUGCAGAAUGACAUGAGUGAGGGGCUUGGCGCUGACGUGAAGGUUGAGGAGGCAGUCACCGGAACCCCACGCAGGCUAGAGCUGUGACCGACAGAAACGACGAUGUGUGUUCCUAGAGGCUUAGGCAGUGCCAGAGAAAUCACUCAGUGCCAGCUGGCUCCUGCAUGAAUGCUUCUCUAGACAAGCUGACCUUUGCUACUUAGUAGGGUGUACGUUGCCUCUAAGCCCAUUUCCAAUUUACUGACACCUGGUGGAUUUUUAUUCACCACUGAGCUCUGGCCCGAAGAGAGCUGCCAAACGUCCUAGGCCAUCCAUUCACUCAGCACUUAUAAUCGUGAUAGUCACCACCCAUGAAAGCUUUAGGACCUGUUUCAGAGAGUCAUCCUUGGCCAAACCUUCAUGUGGGCAGCUACCACCCACCACACCAGCCCCUCUUCCAGAUCAGACCUCAGCAAACCUGACUGGCCUAGGGAUACAGAAGACCAGCCUCUUGCGUCCACGUGGGACCAAGUCUGCAGUGUGACUUGUGCUCCAGAACUCUCCCACAGGCUCAGCCUGAAGUCAGGCUCCAGCGAAGCCCAUCCCUGCCUGGCUUCUCUCCACAGUCCUAUUCUGCUGCCCUGACUCCUCUUCCCUAAGGGCUAUUGCCCAGCGAAGCCCAUGGUCUCAGACUGGGCUUCAAAGAAACCUGACUCCAUGUUAGCAUCUUCUGCGGAGUUUUAUAAAAACACAUACACCUGAACUUAACCACCUAGACUUACUGAGCCAGAAGCUAUAGAGCUUCAAGAGUGGGAACCAGACAACUGUAUGCUUUAAAGCCUAAUAGAUAUUUCUAAUUCACCAGUUUAUCUCUCAACUUUUCAUUUUGAAAAUGCCAAACUUACAGAAAUAAUGAAAGUAUAAUGUAGUGAUAAAUAUCUACAUACUCAGCAUCUAGAUAUACCAAUUAUUAAUAUUUUGCUCCAUUUUCCUCUCUCUCUCUCACAUAUCAAAAAUAAUUUGCAAGUAAAUUGUAGACAUUAUGACACUUUAUCCUUCAGUUCUUCAGCAGAUAUUAUCCAAGAAUAAAGACAUUCUCCUACAUAACCCCAGUGUCAUAAUCACCCACAGGAAAUUAAUACUAACUUGUUAACAUCCCCAGAGCAUACAGUCCAUAGUUAAGAUGUACCCUCUGUUUUAGGCCAAAGGUGGCAAUUUUCUCAACUUUAGACUCAACAGAAGUUUGGAGAAGGGAAAAAUCUGUAUGAGUUGAAUAGAAAGGAAAAUACUUCAUGGAGGAAAGAGGAUAAGAAUUGGGCUGUGAAGGAUUGACAUUAGAAAGAAGGGGUGGAGCAAAUGCUCAGAUAGAAGCAGGUAAAUACCUAUGCAAACAUGCAGACAUGGGCAUUGGAAUUGCCUUUUGUGGGAGGAGAAGACUGAGCAGAAUUUGUGGACUAGGAUAGGUAGGCUGUGCAGCUGGACAGGCCUCAUGCAAUCUGAGUACAGAGAAAUUGCCAAUCCAAGCAAUCAAAAAAACAGUGGCCACACACCAAGAAACGUUAAAGGUGACUGCACUUAGGAGAGUGGCAUCAGAUUUGUGGGACACAUUCAGGUGAAUUCUAGUCAGGACCAUGGCAAAGCAUUUGGGGUCAGAAUUAAACUGGGGAGUUAAUUACUGAUUGAAAUUCAUUUAUUCAUAUAUUCGUUCUACCAGCAUUUUCUGAGUACAUAUUAUGUGCCAAAAUACCAAUGUGAACACAGGAAAUAAAGCACUGAAAAAACAGACAAGGUCCUUGCUUUCAUGAAACUUAGGUAGGGGUGUGUGUGUGUGUGCGCGUGUGUGUGUGUGUUGGUUGAGUGGG